GCCCAGAUGGCGGAAUUGGUAGACGCGCUGGUCUCAAACACCUGUGCCUUCAUUGGCAUGCCGGUUCGACUCCGGCUCUGGGUACAA
rnacentral:tRNA from 1 species